AGAGUUUGAUCCUGGCUCAGAAUGAACGUUGGCGGCGUGGAUUGGGCAUGCAAGUCGUGCGGCAGCGGGCCUCUCACCGUGCUCUCGAGGAUCGAGGGUGUGGUGAGAGGUGCCGGCGAGCGGCGUAAGGGAGAGUAACGCGUGGUUAUGUGCCCCUGGGACCGGGAUAGCGUCGGGAAACUGGCGGUAAUACCGGAUAAUAUCUGAGGAUCAAAUGGUGAGAUUCCGCCCAGGGAUCAGACCGCGUUCUAUUAGCUUGUUGGCGGGGUAAUGGCCCACCAAGGCUGAGAUGGAUACCGGGUGUGAGAGCAUGGCCCGGCUCACUGGGACUGAGACACUGCCCAGACACCUACGGGUGGCUGCAGUCGAGAAUCUUCGGCAAUGGGCGCAAGCCUGACCGAGCGACGCCGCGUGCGGGAUGAAGGCCCUCGGGUUGUAAACCGCUGUCAGUUGGAAGAAAUGUCAGGGGGUCUCCCCUGGCUGACCGAUCUCAGAGAGACGGGCUAAGUUCGUGCCAGCAGCCGCGGUAAGACGAACCGUCAAACGUAUUCGGUAUCACUGGGCUUAAAGCGUUCGUAGGCGGCUAGAAGGUGAGAUGUGAAAGCCACGACUCAACCGUGGAAUUGCGUUUCAAACCGCUAGGCUUGAGGGAGACAGGGGUGAUGGGAACUGUUGGUGGAGCGGUGAAAUGCGUUGAUAUCAACAGGAACACCGGUGGCGAAAGCGCAUCACUGGUCUCUUCUGACGCUGAGGAACGAAAGCUAGGGGAGCGAACGGGAUUAGAUACCCUGCUAGUCCACGCUGUAAACGAUGAGUGCUAGGUGUUGGCUAGCGAUAGUCAGUGCCGAAGUAAACACAAUAAGCACUCCGCCUGGGGAGUACGGUCGCAAGACUGAAACUCAAAGGAAUUGACGGGGACCCGCACAAGCAGCGGAGCAUGUGGUUUAAUUCGAAGCAACGCGAGAACCUUACCAAGGUUUGACAUCCCCUCGACGAUGCAGAGAUGUGUCCUCUCCUUCGGGAGCAAGGGAGACAGGUGGUGCAUGGUUGUCGUCAGCUCGUGUCGUGAGAUGUUGGGUUAAGUCCCGCAACGAGCGCAACCCUUAUCAUUAGUUGCCAGCAAGUUAAGUUGGGCACUCUAAUGAGACUGCCGGUGAUAAACCGGAGGAAGGUGGGGAUGACGUCAAAUCAUCAUGCCCCUUAUAUCUUGGGCUACACACGUGCUACAAUGGUCGGUACAAAGGGGAGCGAAGGAGCGAUCUGGAGCAAAUCCCAAUAAACCGAUCCCAGUUCGGAUUGUAGGCUGCAACUCGCCUACAUGAAGUCGGAGUUGCUAGUAAUCGCGAAUCAGAACGUCGCGGUGAAUGCGUUCCCGGGUCUUGUACACACCGCCCGUCACACCAUGGAAGCCGGGGGUACCUGAAGUUCGUAACCGCAAGGAUCGACCUAGGGUAAAACUGGUGACUGGGGCUAAGUCGUAACAAGGUAACC
rnacentral:rRNA from 1 species